AUCGAACGCUGGCGGAAUGCUUUACACAUGCAAGUCGAACGGCAGCACGGACUUCGGUCUGGUGGCGAGUGGCGAACGGGUGAGUAAUACAUCGGAACGUGCCCAGUCGUGGGGGAUAACGUAGCGAAAGCUACGCUAAUACCGCAUACGAUCUACGGAUGAAAGCGGGGGAUCGCAAGACCUCGCGCGAUUGGAGCGGCCGAUGGCAGAUUAGGUAGUUGGUAGGGUAAAGGCCUACCAAGCCGACGAUCUGUAGCUGGUCUGAGAGGAUGAUCAGCCACACUGGGACUGAGACACGGCCCAGACUCCUACGGGAGGCAGCAGUGGGGAAUUUUGGACAAUGGACGCAAGUCUGAUCCAGCCAUUCCGCGUGCAGGAUGAAGGCCCUCGGGUUGUAAACUGCUUUUGUACAGAACGAAAAGGCUCUGGUUACUACCUGGGGCUCAUGACGGUACUGUAAGAAUAAGCACCGGCUAACUACGUGCCAGCCGCCGCCGUAA
rnacentral:rRNA from 1 species